UCGCAGAUCAGAAUGCUGCGGUGAAUGCGUUCCCGGGUCUUGUACACACCGCCCGUCACACCACGGGAGUUGGAGACGCCCGAAGCCGAUUAUCUAACCUUUUGGCAGAAGUCGUCGAAGGUGGAAUUAAUAACUGGGGUGAAGUCGUAACAAGGUAGCCGUAUCGGAAGGUGCGGCUGGAUCACCUCCUUUCUAAGGAGA
rnacentral:rRNA from 1 species